rnacentral:rRNA from 1 species
GGGUGAGUAACACGUAGAUAAUCUGCCUUGAGUGUUGGGGAUAGCCUGUGGAAACACAGGGUAAUACCGAAUAAGCCCUAUGGGGGAAAGUGUGUUAAGUGCACCGCCUUGAGAUGAGUCUGCGGCUCAUUAGUUAGUUGGUGGGGUAAAAGCCUACCAAGGCGACGAUGAGUAGCCGGCCUGAGAGGGUGGACGGCCACACUGGGACUGAGACACGGCCCAGACUCCUACGGGAGGCAGCAGCUAAGAAUCUUCCGCAAUGGGCGCAAGCCUGACGGAGCGACGCCGCGUGAACGAAGAAGGCCGUGAGGUUGUAAAGUUCUUUUCUUACUGAAGAAUAAUCAUUGCAGGGAAUGGCAGUGAGAUGACGUUAGGUAAGGAAUAAGCCCCGGCUAAUUACGUGCCAGCAGCCGCGGUAACACGUAAGGGGCAAGCGUUGUUCGGAAUUAUUGGGCGUAAAGGGCGUGUAGGCGGUUUUACAAGUCUGGUGUGAAAUACCGCAGCUUAACUGCGGGGACGCGCUGGAAACUGUAAGACUAGAGUACAGGAGGGGGACCUGGAAUUCCUGGUGUAGGGGUGAAAUCUGUAGAUAUCAGGAAGAACACCGGUGGCGAAGGCGAGGUCCUGGCCAUGUACUGACGCUGAGGCGCGAAAGCGUGGGGAGCGAACAGGAUUAGAUACCCUGGUAGUCCACGCCGUAAACGAUGUGCACUAGGUGCUUGGGGGUAGCCUUGAGUGCCGUAGCUAACGCGUUAAGUGCACCGNCUGGGGAGUAUGCUCGCAAGGGUGAAACUCAAAGGAAUUGACGGGGGCCCGCACAAGCGGUGGAGCUUGUGGUUUAAUUCGAUGAUACGCGAG